rnacentral:misc_RNA from 1 species
AAGACUAUAGACCUGCGGAGUACCUGCGGAAGGAUCAUUAAAAUAUUUUUUUAAAUAAUUCAUAUCCAUUUCCAUGUGCACCGAUUGAUUGGUAUACCUUUGACAGAUCUUUUCAAAGAUCUGUCAAAAGGUUUUUUUAUAAUCUAAUUUUUUUAAAAUAAUUUUAAAUUUAAAUAAUUUAAUAUAAUUUUAAUAUAACUUUCAACAAUGGAUCUCU